UCAACAAAUUCACCCCAAAAAUCAACAAAUUCACCCCAAAAAUCCACAAAUUCACCCCAAAAACCCCAAAUUCACCCCAAAAAUCCAAAAAUUCACCCCAAAAAACCCCAAAUUCACCCCAAAAACCCCAAAUUCACCCCAAAAAUCAACAAAUUCACCCCAAAUUCACCCCAAAAACCCCAAAAAUCAACAAAUUCACCCCAAAUUCACCCCAAAAACCCCAAAAAUCAACAAAUUCACCCCAAAAACCCCAAAUUCACCCCAAAUUCACCCCAAAUUCACCCCAAAAAUCCACAGAUUCACCCCAAAAUACCCCAAAUUCACCCCAAAAAUCAACAAAUUCACCCCAAAAACCCCAAAAACCCACAAAUUCACCCCAAAAUACCCCAAAUUCACCCCAAAUUCACCCCAAAAAUACAAAAAUUCACCCCAAAUUCACCUGUACCGGGAGGUGAGAGCCAAAAUCCCCCAAAUUCACCCCAAAAACCCCAAAUUCACCCCAAAAAUCCACAAAUUCACCCCAAAUUCACCUGUACCGGGAGGUGAGAGCCAAAAUCCCCCAAAUUCACCCCAAAAAACCCCAAAUUCACCCCAAAAUCCCACAAAUUCACCCCAAAAUACCCCAAAAUCCCACAAAUUCACCCCAAAAUACCCCAAAAAUCCACAAAUUCACCCCAAAAUACCCCAAAUUCACCCCAAAUUCUCCCCAAAUUCACCCCAAAUUCACCUGUACCGGGAGGUGAGAGCCAAAAUCCCCCAAAUUCACCCCAAAAACCCCCAAAAAUCAACAAAUUCCCCAAAUUCACCCCAAAUUCACCUGUACCGGGAGAACCCCGGCUCGCACCAGUUCGAGGAGCAGCCGAUCCAGCUGCUCUUCCCCGAGCUGCAGGACGUCCCCAGCACGUAGGGGCCUUCAUCCUCCUCGCCUUCCUCACCCUCAUCCUCAUCCUCAUCUUCCUCACCUUCCUCAUCCUCACCCUCACCCUCAUCCUCACCCUCAUCCUCAUCCUCAUCCUCAUCUUCCUCCUCCUCCUCCUCGCCUUCCUCAUCCUCAUCCUCAUCCUCGCCUUCAUCCUCAUCAUCCUCACCUUCAUCCUCAUCCUCAUCCUCAUCCUCAUCCUCAUCCUCACCUUCAUCCUCAUCCUCAUCCUCAUCCUCACCUUCAUCCUCAUCCUCACCUUCAUCCUCAUCCUCACCCUCAUCCUCAUCUUCCUCACCUUCAUCAUCCUCACCCUCAUCCUCAUCCUCAUCUUCCUCCUCCUCUUCCUCCUCAUCUUCCUCAUCCUCCUCCUCGCCUUCCUCAUCCUCAUCCUCAUCCUCAUCCUCAUCUUCCUCCUCCUCUUCCUUCUCCUCCUCAUCUUCCUCAUCCUCAUCUUCCUCCUCUUCUUCCUCAUCUUCCUCUUCAUCCUCAUCCUCAUCUUCAUCUUCCUCCUCCUCCUCCUCUUCCUCCUCUUCCUCCUCCUCUUCCUCCUCUCCUCUUUCUCCUCUUUUUCUACUUCAUCUUCUUUCUCCUCCUCAUCCUCAUCUUCUUCUUCCUCCUCUUCAUCUUCCUCUUCACCUUCAUCUUCCUCCUCCUCAUCUUCCUCCUCUUCCUCUUCGUCCUCCUCCUCCUCCUCUUCUUAUUCCUCAUCCCCAUUUUUCCCAUUUUUUUUCCCAUUUUUUCCCCAUUUUUCCCAUUUUUUUUCCCAUUUUUUCCCCAUUUUUUUCCCCCAUUUUCCCCCUUUAUUCCCAUCAUUCUCUGGCUCCAUUUCCAUCCCCAUUUUUCCCAUUUUUUUCCCCUAUUUUUUUCCCCAUUUUUCCCAUUUUUUCCCCCAUUUUUCCCAUUUUUUUCCCCAUUUUUUUCCCCAUUUUCCCCAUUUUUUUCCCAUUUUUUUCCCAUUUUUUUCCCCAUUUUCCCAUCAUUCUGUGGCUCCAUUUCCAUCCCCAUUUUUCCCAUUUUUCCCCAUUUUUCCCCAUUUUCCCAUCAUUCUCUGGUUCCAUUUCCAUCCCCAUUUUUCCCAUUUUUUUUCCCAUUUUUUUCCCCAUUUUUUUCCCCAUUUUUUUCCCCAUUUUUCCCCAUUUUUCCCAUUUUUGCCCCAUUUCUUUUCCCCAUUUUUCCCCAUUUUCCCAUCUUUCUCUGGCUCCAUUUCCAUCCCCAUUUUUCCCAUUUUUUUCCCCCAAUUUUUUCCCCUUUUUUCCAUUUUUUUCCCCAUUUUUUUCCCCAUUUUCCCCCCAUUUUUCCCAUUUUUUUCCCCAUUUUUUCCCCAUUUUUCCCAUUUUUCCCAUUUUUUCCCCAUUUUUUUCCCCAUUUUUCCCCCAUUUUUCCCAUUUUUUCCCCAUUUUUUCCCCAUUUUCCCCAUUUUUUUCCCAUUUUUUUCCCCAUUUUUCCCAUUUUUUCCCCCAUUUUUCCCAUUUUUUUCCCCAUUUUUUACCCCAUUUUCCCCAUUUCUUUCCCCAUUUUUUUCCCCAUUUUUCCCAUUUUUUAUCCCCAUCAUUCUCUGGCUCCAUUUUUCCCAUUUUUCCCAUUUUUCCCGUUUUUUCCCCCUUUAUCCCCAUCAUUCUCUGGCUCCAUUUCCAUCCCCAUUUUUCCCAUUUUUUUCCCCCAUUUUUUCCCCAUUUUUCAAAUUUUUUUCCCCCAUUUUUUCCCCAUUUUCCCCAUUUUUUUCCCAUUUUUUUCCCCAUUUUUCCCAUUUCUUUCCCCAUUUUUUUUCCCCAUUUUUCCCAUUUUUUUCCCAUUUUUUUCCCAUUUUUUUCCCCAUUUUCCCAUCAUUCUGUGGCUCCAUUUCCAUCCCCAUUUUUCCCAUUUUUCCCCAUUUUUUCCCCGUUUUCCCAUCAUUCUCUGGCCCCAUUUCCAUCCCCAUUUUUCCCAUUUUCCCCCAUUUUUCCCCCAUUUUUCCCAUUUUUUUCCCCAUUUUUUUCCCCAUUUUUCCCAUUUUUUUUCCCAUUUUUUUCCCCAUUUUUUUCCCCAUUUUUUCCCCAUUUUCCCAUCAUUCUCUGGCUCCAUUUUUCCCAUUUUCCCCUGUUUUUUCCCCAUUUUCCCAUCAUUCUCUGGCUCCAUUUUUCCCAUUUUUCCCUGUUUUUUCCCCAUUUUCCCAUCAUUCUCUGGCUCCAUUUUUCCCAUUUUUCCCAUUUUUUCCCCCGUUUUCCCAGCGUUCUCUGGCUCCACGUCCAGCCCCUGUAUCCCCAUCAUUCUCUGGCUCCAUUUCCAUUCCCAUUUUUUUCCCAUUUUCCCCAUUUUUUCCCCCGUUUUCCCAGCGUUCUGUGGCUCCAUUUCCAUCCCGAUUUUUCCCAUUUUCCCCGUUUUUUUCCCCGUUUUCCCAGCGUUCUGUGGCUCCACGUCCAGCCCCUGUAUCCCCAUCAUUCUCUGGCUCCAUUUCCAUCCCAUUUUUCCCAUUUUUCCCUGUUUUUUCCCCAUUUCCCCAUCAUUCUCUGGCUCCAUUUUUCCCAUUUUUUCCCCCAUUUUUUCCCCAUUUUUUCCCCAUUUUUCCCCAUUUUCCCAUCAUUCUCUGGCUCCAUUUCCAUCCCCAUUUUUCCCAUUUUUCCCUGUUUUUUCCCCAUUUUUUUCCCCUGUAUCCCCAUCAUUCUCUGGCUCCAUUUCCAUCCCGAUUUUUCCCAUUUUUCCCAUUUUUUCCCCCGUUUUCCCAGCGUUCUCUGGCUCCACGUCCAGCCCCUUUAUUCCCAUCAUUCUCUGGCUCCAUUUCCAUCCCGAUUUUUCCCAUUUUUCCCCGUUUUUUCCCCGUUUUCCCAGCGUUCUCUGGCUCCAUUUCCAUCCUGAUUUUUCCCAUUUUUCCCUGUUUUUUCCCCGUUUUCCCAGCGUUCUGUGGCUCCACGUCCAGCCCCUGUAUCCCCAUCAUUCUCUGGCUCCAUUUUUCCCAUUUUUCCCAUUUUUUCCCCCAUUUUUUCCCCAUUUUUCCCGUUUUUUUCCCCAUUUUCCCAUCAUUCUCUGGCUCCAUUUCCAUCCCCAUUUUCCCCAUUUUUCCCUGUUUUUCCCCGUUUUCCCAGCGUUCUGUGGCUCCAUUUCCAUCCCCAUUUUUCCCAUUUUUCCCUGUUUUUUCCCCAUUUUCCCAUCAUUCUCUGGCUCCAUUUUUCCCAUUUUUCCCCGUUUUUUCCCCGUUUUCCCAGCGUUCUGUGGCUCCACGUCCAGCCCCUGUAUCCCCAUCAUUCUCUGGCUCCAUUUUCCCCAUUUUUCCCAUUUUUCCCCAUUUUUUUCCCCAUUUUCCCAUCAUUCUCUGGCUCCAUUUCCAUCCCCAUUUUUCCCAUUUUUUCCCCCAUUUUUCCCAUUUUUUUUCCCAUUAUUUUUCCCCCAUUUUUUCCCCACAUUUUUCCCCAUUUUCCCAUCAUUCUCUGGCUCCAUUUUUCCCAUUUUUCCCCGUUUUUUCCCCGUUUUCCCAGCGUUCUCUGGCUCCACGUCCAGCCCCUGUAUCCCCAUCAUUCUCUGGCUCCAUUUUCCCCAUUUUUCCCAUUUUUCCCCAUUUUUUUCCCCAUUUUUCCCAUUUUUUUCCCCAUUUUUUUCCCCAUUUUCCCCAUUUUUUCCCCAUUUUUUUCCACAUUUUUCCCCAUUAUUUUCCCAUCAUUCUCUGGCUCCAUUAUUCCCAUUUUUCCCGGUUUUUUCCCCAUUUAUCCCCAUCAUUCUCUGGCUCCAUUUCCAUCCCCAUUUUUCCCAUUUUCCCUCAUUUUUCCCCCAUUUUUCCCAUUUUUUUCCCCAUUUUUUUCCCCAUUUUUCACAUUUUUUUUCCCAUUUCUUUCCCCAUUUUUUCCCCACAUUUUUCCCCAUUUAUCCCCAUCAUUCUCUGGCUCCAUUUUUCCCAUUUUUCCCUGUUUUUUCCCCCAUUUUUUCCCCAUUUUUCCCGUUUUUUUCCCCAUUUUCCCAUCAUUCUCUGGCUCCAUUUCCAUCCCCAUUUUCCCCAUUUUUCCCUGUUUUUCCCCGUUUUCCCAGCGUUCUGUGGCUCCAUUUCCAUCCCGAUUUUUCCCAUUUUUCCCUGUUUUUUCCCCGUUUUCCCAGCGUUCUGUGGCUCCACGUCCAGCCCCUGUAUCCCCAUCAUUCUCUGGCUCCAUUUUUCCCAUUUUUCCCACUUUUUUCCCCAUUUUUUCCCCAUUUUUCCCCAUUUUCCCAUCAUUCUCUGGCUCCAUUUCCAUCCCCAUUUUUCCCAUUUUUCCCAUUUUUUUCCCCAUUUAUCCCCAUCAUUCUCUGGCUCCAUUUUUCCCAUUUUUCCCUGUUUUUCCCCCGUUUUCCCAGCGUUCUGUGGCUCCAUUUCCAUCCCGAUUUUUCCCAUUUUUCCCCGUUUUUUCCCCGUUUUCCCAGCGUUCUGUGGCUCCACGUGCAGCCCCUGUAUCCCCAUCAUUCUCUGGCUCCAUUUUUCCCAUUUUUCCCUGUUUUUUCCCCGUUUUCCCAGCGUUCUCUGGCUCCACGUCCAGCCCCUGUAUCCCCAUCAUUCUCUGGCUCCAUUUUUCCCAUUUUCCCCUGUUUUUUCCCCGUUUUCCCAUCAUUCUCUGGCUCCAUUUUUCCCAUUUUUUCCCCAUUUUUCCCCUGUAUCCCCAUCAUUCUCUGGCUCCAUUUCCAUCCCGAUUUUUCCCAUUUUUCCCAUUUUUUCCCCCGUUUUCCCAGCGUUCUCUGGCUCCACGUCCAGCCCCUUUAUUCCCAUCAUUCUCUGGCUCCAUUUCCAUCCCGAUUUUUCCCAUUUUUCCCAUUUUUUUCCCCGUUUUCCCAUUUUUUUCCCCAUUUUUUUCCCCAUUUUUCCCGUUUUUUCCCCGUUUCCCCAGCGUUCUCUGGCUCCAUUUCCAUCCCUAUUUUCCCCAUUUUUUUCCCCAUUUCUUUCGCCAUUUUUCCCAUUUUUUUUCCCAUUUUUUUUCCCCCAUUUUUUCCCCACAUUUUUCCCCAUUUUCCCAUCAUUCUCUGGCUCCAUUUUUCCCAUUUUUCCCCGUUUUUCCCCCGUUUUCCCAGCGUUCUCUGGCUCCACGUCCAGCCCCUGUAUCCCCAUCAUUCUCUGGCUCCAUUUUUCCCAUUUUUCCCACUUUUUUUCCCAUUUUUCCCUGUUUUUCCCCGUUUUCCCAGCGUUCUCUGGCUCCACGUCCAGCCCCUUUAUUCCCAUCAUUCUCUGGCUCCAUUUCCAUCAUUCUCUGGCUCCAUUUUUCCCAUUUUUCCCCGUUUUUUCCCCGUUUUCCCAGCGUUCUGUGGCUCCACGUCCAGCCCCUGUAUCCCCAUCAUUCUCUGGCUCCAUUUUUCCCAUUUUUCCCUGUUUUUUCCCCGUUUUCCCAUCAUUCUCUGGCUCCAUUUCCAUCCCGAUUUUUCCCAUUUUCCCCUGUUUUUCCCCGUUUUCCCAGCGUUCUGUGGCUCCACGUCCAGCCCCUGUAUCCCCAUCAUUCUCUAGCUCCAUUUUUCCCAUUUUUUUCCCCAUUUUUUCCCCAUUUCCCCAUCAUUCUCUGGCUCCAUUUCCAUCCCCAUUUUUCCCAUUUUUCCCUGUUUUUUCCCCGUUUUCCCAGCGUUCUGUGGCUCCACAUGCAGCCCCUGUUUUCCCAUCAUUCUCUGGCUCCAUUUUUCCCAUUUUUCCCUGUUUUUUCCAUUUAUCCCCAUCAUUCUCUGGCUCCAUUUUUCCCAUUUUUCCCUGUUUUUUCCCCAUUUUCCCCAUUUUUUUCCCAUUUUUUUCCCCAUUUUUCCCAUUUCCCAUUAUUUUUCCCCAUUUUUUCCCCACAUUUUUCCCCAUUUUCCCAUCAUUCUCUGGCUCCAUUUUUCCCAUUUUUCCCUGUUUUUUCCCCAUUUAUCCCCAUCAUUCUCUGGCUCCAUUUUUCCCAUUUUUCCCCGUUUUUCCCCCGUUUUCCCAGCGUUCUGUGGCUCCACGUCCAGCCCCUGUAUCCCCAUCAUUCUCUGGCUCCAUU
ensembl:lncRNA